UCGGGGGCCCGAGUAGAGUGGCGUCCGGGUGAGUAACACGUAGGUAAUCUACCUCUGGGUGGGGAAUAACGACCGGAAACGGUCGCUAAUACCGCAUAAUGCAGCGGCACCACAUGGUGACAGUUGUUAAAGCGGGGGAUCGCAAGACCUCGCGCCUAGAGAGGAGCCUGCGGCGGAUUAGCUAGUUGGCAGGGUAACGGCCUACCAAGGCGACGAUCCGUAGCCGGCCUGAGAGGGCGGUCGGCCACACUGGCACUGACACACGGGCCAGACUCCUACGGGAGGCAGCAGUCGGGAAUUUUGGGCAAUGGGCGAAAGCCUGACCCAGCAACGCCGCGUGAAGGAUGAAGCUUUUCGGAGUGUAAACUUCAUAAGAAUGGGACGAAUAAGGAGGGGUUAACACCCCCUUUGAUGACGGUACCAUUUGUAAGCUCCGGCUAACUCCGUGCCAGCAGCCGCGGUAAUACGGGGGGAGCAAGCGUUGUUCGGAUUUACUGGGCGUAAAGGGCGCGUAGGCGGCGCAACAAGUCACUUGUGAAAUCUCCGGGCUUAACCCGGAGCGGCCAAGUGAUACUGUCGUGCUAGAGUGCGGAAGGGGCUACUGGAAUUCUCGGUGUAGCGGUGAAAUGCGUAAAUUUCGAGAGGAACACCUGCGGCGAAAGCGGGUAGCUGGGCCGACCCUGACCCUUAGGCGCGAAAGCCAGGGGAGCGAACGGGAUUAGAUACCCC
rnacentral:rRNA from 1 species